UUCUCUCCACCAAAUAAUCGAGCCAAUCACCGCGCCGCCGUGGAGCACUCGGUCGUCGUGGAUUCAAGCGUGGGCGCCGCUGUCGUCGACCGCGAUUCACUUCACCGUCGGUAAAUCCCCAGCCCAAGAACCCUAAUUAGCAUUCUCCGCCAUGUGUAGAAGCAUUCUGUGUCGGUAAUCGGUCAUCUGGGUGCGUGUAAUUGGACAUCGCCGUUGAUGUUCCGCCACGGCGCAUCGGGGCUGGGGGCGAGUACUUAGGCGCUGGUGUUCUCGGGAAAAGAUAUUCCCAUAUCUUCGUUUCCUCGGCGCGAUCGCGGAGGACCAAUCGAAUUUAAGGUUGGGGCCUGGAAUGGCGCGCUGCAGCUUCUCCGGCCAUCUCUCCGCCGUCUGCUUGGGCAGCGCCGCCGCGGGCUGGCCAGCUUGGGCGCGGGAUAGACCAGGGGAAGCCGUGACCGUUGAUCCCUUGCGCAACGGUCGCGAUUAGAUCAUAGGGGUACCGGUUGGGUGGAUUAGCCAGUGCCGUUUGAUCAAGAUCCAACAUGCGUAGAUUGAUCUAGGUAUUUUAAAUCUGAGCCGUCCGAUUCAAUCCGACGCUUUAUGAUCGAUCGCGUGCACCUUUUUGUCAGGGUCGUUGAUCGUUAAUCUAACGGGCGGAUCUGAUCAGGCGCAUGGCGAGUGCUCGGCCGUGGAUCGUGGAUCCAACGGCUCUGAGUGAAGCAGCUUUAAGCACCGGAAUGAUUUAAUCUGAGCCGUAGAAUCUAAUCCUACGGUUGAUAUUAGACGAUACCCCUUCGCGGGUAUAUUUUGUUAAAGAGCCCCCGCCAAACACUGAAAUCAACCCGCAGUCCUUAGACAGGGUCGCUUGUGUCUCGGUUACUUUUGUGCCAGGGCCCCUGAGCUUACCAGAAAUCGAGGCCCAGUCCAGAAAGGAUUAAUAAUAGAGAAAUAAUUAUAGAAAUUAGUUUUUAAUACAAAAAACAAUUCUAGAAACUUGUAAAAUGCAUAGAAAAUUCAUUUUUAGUCCAAAUUGACCCAUUCCAAUUUCUAAAAUUUUAUAAUAUUACUGUUUAUCAUCUAGUGUCCCUGUUUUGGCAUGAAAACAGUAAGAAAAUUAAUUCCACACUUAAUCCUAUUUCAAGCACAUAAAACCUUUGGAAAUUUAUAUCUAAAAAUCUAUAACUCUAAAAUUAAUGAUUCCUGAUCUUAGGAUCUUAUUUUAAUGUAUAGAUUGUUAUUGUGUAUUUUAUUUACAUGUAUGGUGUGAUGUUAAUUUUUUCUAUACUAUGUAUGUAUUGUAUUAAUGUGAGUAGACGAGCAAGCUAGUGCGGAUCCUGAGGCCCAGCAGAUAGAAGUAGCUGAGCAGGAGCUCAUUGAAGGCAAGUUGUGCCCUUGAUCACUUACUUUUUCCCAGCCAUGUUCUUAUUAAUUAUAAUGAUCUGCAUAGGUUAAUUUUGAUGGGAUCAAAUAGGCUACCCUAGUUUUGGCUAUCUUUAUACCUUGUUGCCACUGAAUAUUUUUGGGUAGUACUUGCUACUGCUUAUUGUGGUUUCGGGUAUGUCGAUACACUAUUCAUGAUUACACUUUUAUUAUCUGUUUAUUAUUACUGUUUAUGUUAAGAUCAUUAUGUUAAUGGGAACAUGGAGCGACCACCCGGGAAAACAGUGCUACCACUAGGGUAGUAUGGGAUGCCCUUGGCUGAUUAACUAGGAAAGGUAGUGGACGACUUCCUUACCCGAAAGGGGUUAGUGCAGUAGGGGAGUGGUCAGUGUAGGGAGGUCCUUGAGUUGAUUUUGUUGCGAUGGCGGUCAGGCGAGGGAUUCCUGCACUGGAGCUUCCUAUAAACUGUAGCGGGUUUUCUGAAGCUAGUGGAACUUUGUAAUGGCCUCGUAGUCUUACCCUGCCUCGCCUCCUCGGUAGAGGUGUAUGGGAUUUGCCGUCUCUUGGCAGAUGGGUAACAUGACUUGUGGGUAAAGAUACGCAACCUCUACAGAGUGUAAAACUAGUAUACACUAGCCGUGAUCACGGUCAUGAGCAGCUCGGACCCUCACAUGAUUAAUCUAUGGAAUUAAAACUCAAUUUGUCAUUUGAAUCGCAUUGGGAUUAUUUAUUUAUUACUUUUCUUUAUUAUUAUUAAGGUUAGAUAUUUACUUAUACUUAGUAACUGCUAAUAAAAUUUUGACCAACUUAUAAAAGCAAUGCUAAGCUUCAGCCUUUAUUUUGUUGAUCAGCCUUACACUUCAUAUGAAGUCCCACCUUUGGUGAGUUCAUGUACAUUAUUCCCCACAACUUGUUGAGCUAUGAUCAUAUGUGAGCUCACUCUUGCUGUCUCACACCCCCACAGGAGAAGAACAGGUGGUCGAAGAGGAGCUGCCUAACUCUGAGGCUUUCGACUUGAUCUAGGUGACGUCUCCCAGUUAGCUUUGUGGCGCCAGUGAAUAAUAUAUAGUUCGCUUUAUUUUAUCAUUUAUUUUUGUAAGACUUUCGC
rnacentral:lncRNA from 1 species